UAGAGCAAUCAGAAAAUACCUCAUCAGUUACUUCUGAAUCUGAUUCUGAUUCAUCGUCUGAGUCUACAUCUGAGUCAGCUAAAGCCAUCAGGGCUAGAUUUGCCUCUUCUUCUUCCUCAACUUCUUCCUCAGAAGAUAGCUCUUCAAAAGUAGCCAUCAGACUCUUUUUCAAUUUGCUCUUGAAUUGUUGCUUCUUUGAGCUGUAUCUUUUGUUUUUGUCUUUAGCAGACAUUUCUGGACAAUCAGCAAUAAAGUGUCCUGGCU
rnacentral:lncRNA from 1 species